ACUGGAGCCACUGAUGCUCUCAGAGGCUUGGACCUCGUUGAAAAUCAAGUUUAACUGGGAUGCCAGCUUCUGGACCAAGCAGAUGUCCACUUUAGGUCAGCUGGUUGUUGAAGGUGGAAGUCGUUCAUACUCAGAGGUUGUGGGUCAUCCCAGUAUCCUGCGACCCCAGCCUGUCCCAUGCAUAGCAAUACCUCCACUGUGCCAUGCGGUGCAUGAACCUGGCUGCGCCUGCCAGACCUUCUUUCAGCCCCAGCUCUGCUGCCUUCACUGCAGACCUACUCAAUCCGUCCCUUUGGAUAAAUUCCCUGCUCAAUGUCCUCAGGCCACCAGGCGGAGCUCCCCGCCGUCCCUUCACAGCUGCUGGGAGGCUGAUGCAUCUGUCCCGGUGCAUCCACCAGGAGCUCAGCCUAUACAGCCGUCCACCUCUCACCCUGGAUCUGACCUUGUCCAGCAUGGAGCCAGCUCAGCUUCACCUAGGCAGCCUGUCGGAUCCAACAACCACCCGCUCCCUGCUAAUUCCAACCAGGCUGCCAUGGACGGGAGAAAAUCUGCACCAGGCCAGCCUCCUUGUGAAAGAGGGCAAACAUCUGCACCCGAAGCAACCACAGGGCAAGAAGCAUCACCAGACAGUGAGCUGCCGCGGGUCCACAAUCAGGCUCAAGUGCAGACAACCACAGAAACUAGCAACCAGCCCAUGAUUGAAUUGCAGCCAAUCGUUGCUCGCAUCGAUGAUGACAGGAGAUCCUCAGCGCUAGAGAUGUUCACGCUGGCUCAAGGCCGAGGAGGUGACGACCAGAGCCGUUCCGGUUCGAAGAGGGCUACCAGGUCUCAGAGCAACUCAAAAGGACCCAGAGGACCUCGUAAAAGUCUGUGUAAAGCCAGGCCGAACAGGGCUGCUCAUAGCCUGGCAACAGUGGCUGGGGACCAGGAAUGCACAACGCAGCAGCAGGUCUGUGCACGACCCGAUGCUUCUGAGAUGAUGCCAGGACAUAUAAGCAGUCACACUGCAUCCUCUCUGACCACCUACAAGUCUGAACCAGGUUAAGAGGCCAAUUAUGAUUUCCAAAUAAGCUUCUUUCAUGUUCAACUUGCAAUAGAAAUACACAUAAUGAGGAAUUACACAUUUCGUAGCGGAUUAAUCCAUCUAAAUGCCAUUUUUCCUGGUUUCAGAUAACGUAUAUGCAUAUGCCUAUGAAAACAGAAAACCGAAAACCAGAAAGAAGAACAGAUUGUCUCGAGAGGAUCCAGAUACCAGGUAGAAUUUAAAAAUGAAACAAGAAAAAGCUACAGGUUUACUGCGCUUGUUUGUAGGGCU
rnacentral:lncRNA from 1 species